GACGAACGCUGGCGGCGUGCUUAACACGUGCAAGUCGAACGGAAAGGCCCUGCUUUUGUGGGGUGCUCGAGUGGCGAACGGGUGAGUAACACGUGAGUAACCUGCCCUUGACUUUGGGAUAACUUCAGGAAACUGGGGCUAAUACCGGAUAGGAGCUCCUGCUGCAUGGUGGGGGUUGGAAAGUUUCGGCGGUUGGGGAUGGACUCGCGGCUUAUCAGCUUGUUGGUGGGGUAGUGGCUUACCAAGGCUUUGACGGGUAGCCGGCCUGAGAGGGUGACCGGCCACAUUGGGACUGAGAUACGGCCCAGACUCCUACGGGAGGCAGCAGUGGGGAAUAUUGCACAAUGGGCGGAAGCCUGAUGCAGCAACGCCGCGUGCGGGAUGGCGGCCUUCGGGUUGUAAACCGCUUUCGCCUGUGACGAGGCGUGAGUGACGGUAAUGGGUAAAGAAGCACCGGCUAACUACGUG
rnacentral:rRNA from 1 species